CACGUAGGGGGCGAGCGUUGUUCGGAUUUACUGGGCGUAAAGGGCGCGUAGGCGGCAAUUCAAGUCAUCUGUGAAAUCUCCGGGCUUAACUCGGAAUGGUCAGGUGAUACUGCUUUGCUAGAGUGCAGAAGGGGCAAUCGGAAUUCUUGGUGUAGCGGUGAAAUGCGUAGAUAUCAAGAGGAACACCUGAGGUGAAGACGGGUUGCUGGGCUGACACUGACGCUGAGGCGCGAAAGCUAGGGGAGCAAACGGG
rnacentral:rRNA from 1 species